CGGUGUUUAACUGGCGUGAUGUGGGACGUCCUACCGGUGGGCUUAGCCUCGCGAGGGGCGGCCCAACUAAUAUCCCGUCGCGGUGCUCUUUACUGAGUGUCGAGUCGGGCCGGUACGUUUACUUUGAACAAAUUAGAGUGCUUAAAGCAGGCUAUCCUCGCCUGAAUACUGCGUGCAUGGAAUAAUGGAAUAGGACCUCGGUUCUAUUUUGUUGGUUUUCGGGAACCCCCGAGGUAAUGAUUAAUAGGGACAGAUGGGGGCAUUCGUAUUGCGACGUUAGAGGUGAAAUUCUUGGAUCGUCGCAAGACGGACAGAAGCGAAAGCAUUUGCCAAAAAUGUUUUCAUUAAUCAAGAACGAAAGUUAGAGGUUCGAAGGCGAUCAGAUACCGCCCUAGUUCUAACCAUAAACGAUGCCAGCUAGCGAUCCGCCGAAGUUCCUCCGAUGACUCGGCGGGCAGCUUCCGGGAAACCAAAGCUUUUGGGUUCCGGGGGAAGUAUGGUUGCAAAGCUGAAACUUAAAGGAAUUGACGGAAGGGCACCACCAGGAGUGGAGCCUGCGGCUUAAUUUGACUCAACACGGGAAACCUCACCAGGCCCAGACACCGGAAGGAUUGACAGAUUGAUAGCUCUUUCUUGAUUCGGUGGGUGGUGGUGCAUGGCCGUUCUUAGUUGGUGGAGCGAUUUGUCUGGUUAAUUCCGAUAACGAACGAGACUCUAGCCUGCUAAAUAGGCGUACCUUAUGGUAUCGCGAAGGCCCCCGGCUUCGGCCGGUGGGUUUUUACUACCAACGUACAAACAAAUCUUCUUAGAGGGACAGGCGG
rnacentral:rRNA from 1 species